rnacentral:lncRNA from 13 species
AUACGGAAGAAUGCCUAGCUAUUCUGGUGGUCAAAUAAUUGCACCUUCACUGUCAUGGAAGGGAUGCAUCCGAGGGUUCAUGGCAAACGGCAAUCCAUGUAAAUCAUGGAGAAAAGGAGUGGGAAACCAAGAAAACAUUGAAAUUAGCAAAAAUAUAACAACAUCUAUUUUAGUCUUGCUGGCACCGACGCCUGGCAGCUGCGCUACAGUACUGUUCAGGCUUUGGUGUAAGUAUGCUGAGGGCUCAGCGGAGCCGUGUUGCAGGAAGGGCUAA